AGUGAAGUGCCUGAAAAAGGAGUAUCUUGAUAGGGUAAAUCAUGCGAUUUUCGCCUUCAUUA
rnacentral:tRNA from 1 species